rnacentral:sRNA from 1 species
AUGUACGCCUCAUACACUCCGGUCCCUUCGCUCCGUCCGCAUCCGCCCCAGGACUGCUCGCUACGUGCUGUUGGCC